GACGAACGCUGGCGGCGUGCUUAACACAUGCAAGUCGAACGGAAAGGCCCUGCUUUUGUGGUGUGCUCGAGUGGCGAACGGGUGAGUGACACGUGAAUAACCUGCCCUUGACUUUGGGAUAACUUCAGGAAACUGGGGCUAAUACAGGAUCGGAGACCCCGCUGCAUGGUAGGCGUUGGAACGUUGCGGCGGGUGGGGCUGGACUCGCGGCUUAUCGGCUUGUUGGUGGGGUAGUUGCUUACCAAGGCAUGGACGGGUAGCCGGCCUGGGCGGUGGACCGGGCACAUGGCGACUGAGGUACGGAGCAGUAGCGAACGGUAGGCAGCAGUGGGGAGUAUGGCACAACGGGCCGAAGCCUGUUGCAGCAACGCCGGGUGCGGGAUGCCGGCCUGCGGGUUGAAAACCGCUUUCGCCUUAGACGAAGCGUGAGUGACGGUAAUGAAUAAAGAAGCACCGGCUAACUACGUG
rnacentral:rRNA from 1 species